AUUCAGACGAUCACGCACUGAGACCUGUCAACCACAAACGGUCAGAUGAAUACCUAUGGAUUUUGGGGGUCCUGGUGCAGUUUUUGGAUGGAAGUUAACUCAAAAUGAUUGAAAACGUACCUCAGGUCUUCCAGACAAUAGUUGGGUGGUAGACUUCAACAUCUGGUGAAGCCUUGCCCAAUCCUACCAGCUCUAAAAGCAUCCCCAAGAAAUGAUGUGGAGAACAAUCUCAGAAUGAAAGUUUAAGAAAAACCUGCAAGUCUAAAUAAGAAUGAGAAAGAGGCAUCCAAGGUGACGUCUCUGGCAAGAGAAGAAUUCAAUAAUUCAGGUCAAAAACUUAAUGGUGUUCCGACGAAGGCUACAGCCACACUAGACUGGAUAAUUUUGAAAAUGCCAGUUUUGUGUGAAAACGACAGGCAUCCACAUUAGGUGUUUUUAAAAAUACCUCUGUCCACAUUAAAGCGGAUAUUUGGGCGAAUCUCCUCCUACUGGGCAUGCGCAGGACACACAGAAAACAAGCGAAGAGGAAACGGUAUACCUGGUGCGCGUUUGUCCAGAAAUAUUUCCUACAGCCAUAGUCUCUUCAUCGAUGAAAGGGACGACAGCUACAACUAAAUGCCAUAAGGCUUGUUACUGGGCAAAAGUGAAAUUUGCUGUUACCUCAUUUGUCUGCCUUUACGUUUGCCAUGUCUUUGUGUAUUAUUUUGUUGUAUUUAACAUGUGCAGUAAAAUGAGUUACUGGGCAAAAGUGACAAUUGCACCUAUUGAAUAUUUGAACAAGAAAUACCAUA